GAGUUUGAUCAUGGCUCAGAAUCAACGCUGGCGGCGUGCCUAACACAUGCAAGUCGAACGAGAAAGUGGAGCAAUCCAUGAGUAAAGUGGCGCACGGGUGAGUAACACGUGACUAACCUACCCUGGAGUGGGGAAUAACUGAGGGAAACCUUAGCUAAUACCGCAUAACACCUACGGGUCAAAGGAGCAAUUCGCUCCAGGAGGGGGUCGCGGCCGAUUAGUUAGUUGGCGGGGUAAUGGCCCACCAAGACGAUGAUCGGUAUCCGGCCUGAGAGGGCGCGACGGACGACACUGGAACUGAAACACGGUCCAGACUCCUACGGGAGGCAGCAGUGGGGAAUUUUGCGCAAUGGGGGAAACCCUGACGCAGCAACGCCGCGUGGAGGAUGAAGUACUUCGGUACGUAAACUCCUUUCGAUCGGGACGAUUAUGACGGUACCGAGAGAAGAAGCCCCGGCUAACUUCGUGUCAGCAGUAGCGGUAA
rnacentral:rRNA from 1 species